GCUGACUCUCUUUUCGGACUCAGCCCGCCUGCACCCAGGUGAAAUAAACAGCCUCGUUGCUCACACAAAGCCUGUUUGGUGGUCUCUUCACACGGACGCGCAUGAAAUUUGGUGCCGUGACUCGGAUCGGGGGACCUCCCUUGGGAGAUCAAUCCCCUGUCCUCCUGCUCUUUGCUCCGUGAGAAAGAUCCACCUACGACCUCAGGUCCUCAGACCAACCAGCCCAAGAAACAUCUCACCAAUUUCAAAUCCGGUAAGCGGCCUCUUUUUACUCUGUUCUCCAACCUCCCUCACUAUCCCUCAACCUCUUUCUCCUUUCAAUCUUGGCGCCACACUUCAAUCUCUCCCUUCUCUUAAUUUCAAUUCCUUUCAUUCUCUGGUAGAGACAAAAGAGACAUGUUUUAUCCGUGAACCCAAAACUCCGGCGCCGGUCACGGACUGGGAAGGCAGUCUUCCCUUGGUGUUUAAUCAUUGCAGGGACGCCUCUCUGAUUUCACGUUUCAGACCACGCAGGGAUGCCUGCCUUGGUCCUUCACCCUUAGCGGCAAGUCCCGCUUUCCUGGGGCAGGGGCAAGUACCCCUCAACCCCUUCUCCUUCACCCUUAGCGGCAAGUCCCGCUUUUCUGGGGCAGGGGCAAGUACCCCUCAACCCCUUCUCCUUCACCCUUAGCAGCAAGUCCCGCUUUCCUAGGGGGCAAGAACCCCCCAAUCGCUUAUUUUCACGCCCCAACCUCUUAUCUCUGUGCCCCAAUCCCUUAUUUCCACGCCCCAAUCUCUUAUCUCUGCGCCCCAAUCCCUUAUUUCCGCGCCCCAACCCUUUCUCUGCUUUUCUGGAGGGGAAGAAACCCCCACCCCUUCUCCGUGUCUCUACUCUUUUCUCUGGGCUUGCCUCCUUCACUAUGGGCAAGCUUCCACCUUCCAUUCCUUUCUUCUCCCUUAGCAUGUAUUCUUAAGAACUUAAAAUCUCUUCAAUUCUCACCUGACCUAAAAUCUAAGCGUCUUAUUUUCUUCUGCAAUGCCACUUGACCCCAAUACAAACUCAACAGUAGUUCCAAAUAGCCAGAAAAUGGCACUUUCAAUUUUUCCACCCUACAAGAUCUAAAUAAUUCUUGGCGUAAAAUGGGCAAAUGGUGUGAGGUGCCUGACGUCCAGGCAUUCUUUUACACAUCAGUCCCUUCCUAGUCUCUGUGCCCAGUGCAACUCGUCCCAAAUCUUCCUUCUUUCCCUCCCGCCUGUCCCCUCAGUACCAACCCCAAGCGUCACUGAGUCUUUCUAAUCUUCCUUUUCUACAGACCCAUCUGACCUCUCCCUUCCUCCCCAGGCUGCUCCUUGCCAGGCCGAGCUAGGUCCCAAUUCUUCCUCAGCCUCUGCUCCUCCACCCUAUAAUCUUUUUAUCACCUCCCCUCCUCACACCUGCUCCGGCUUACAGUUUCAUUCCGUGACUAGCCCUCCCCGACCUGCCCAGCAAUUUAUUCUUAAAAAGGUGGCUGGAGCUAAACGCAUAGUCAAGGUUAAUGCUCCUUUUUCUUUAUCCCAAAUCAGAUAGUGUUUAGGCUCUUUUUCAUCAAAUAUAAAAAUCUAGCCCAGUUCAUGGCUCGUUUGGCAGCAACCCUAAGACACUUUACAGCCCUAGCCCCUAAAAGGUCAAAAGGCCAUCUUAUUCUCAAUAUACAUUUUAUUACCCAAUCUGCUCCCGACAUUAAAUAAAACUCCAAAAACUGGAAUCUGGCCCUCAAACCCCACAACAGGACUUAAUUAACCUCACCUUCAAGGUGUGAAAUAACAGAAAAAAGUUGCAAUUCCUUGCCUCCACUGUGAGACAAACCCCAGCCACAUCUCCAGCACACAAGAACUUCCAAACGCCUGAACUGUAGCAGCCAGACGUUUCUCCAGAACCUCCUCCCCCAGGAACUUGCUACACAUGCCGGAAAUCUGGCCACUGGGCCAAGGAACGCCCGCAGCCCGGGAUUCCUCCUAAGCCGCGUCCCAUCUGUGUGGGACCCCACUGAAAAUCGGACUGUUCAACUCACCUGGCAGCCACUCCCAGAGCUCCUGGAACUCUGGCCCAAGGUUCUCUGACUGACUCCUUCUUGGCUUACUGGCUGAAGACUGACGCUGCCUGAUCGCCUCAGAAGCCCCGCAGACCAUCAUGGACGCCGAGCUUUAGCCCGCCUGCACCCAGGUGAAAUAAACAGCCUUGUUGCUCACACAAAGCCUGUUUGGUGGUCUCUUCACACAGACGCGCAUGAAAGGGAAGACAUACAAAAACAAGGCCUCUGAGGUAGGUACUACUGAGACAGCCAGGUGGGAAGGACUCCUUGGCAAAACUCCAACCAGCCUGUACACUGGGAGGAAUGUGCACUGGGAUGGAGCCAUAGAAGUUUGUGUCGUUUGCAGUGGGGAGGAGCCUGGUCCCUCCUCUUCCUGUGAGGAACCUGGAAUUCAAUCUGUGAGGAACUUCUUGAAAGACCCAUCAAUUCUUCAAUAGAAAGCAUCAAAGGACAAUUUACACCCUAAGACUGAACCCCUGACCUCAAAAUCUUUCCCUUGCUAUGUUCACCAACCUCAACAGAAAUAUUAGGAUUCUUACCUGAUCCUAGCCAAGCCCCCUCCCUCAUCUCCCAUUAAAGGGUCCAUCUUCAACCAAACUUAAGUCUCAAUAAAUAUCUGGACAUUGUCCUUCCAACUCUGGGAAGCUGCUAAGACUCUGUCCUUACUGCAGAAGAAAAAACAGCCUUGUACCCUGGUCUUCUCAACAGGUUGUUCUGGAGAUGUUCUGGGGAGACUGCAUUAAACACAGCUUCGCACCAUUGAAUAAACUCAGCAACAAGCCAAUGCAUAAAAGUAAUCUAUGCUUCAGGUCACAGAAGCUUCAAGGGGAAAAAAACAGAAUACUCUAGGGCCAUUGUUCACAAACUCAUCUGAAAACAUCCUGGAAAAAUUUUCCCAAACACAUGGAAAGAAAGAGAGGAAAAAAGAAGAUAUCUGAAUAAUGUGGACUAGAAUAAAGAGCUGCCAGGAGCUGUUUAUUUAAAAACAGUACUUUCUUCUCUGGCUGAGUCCCUGGUAUUCUCUGCUGCAAUCUGUAGCUGUAGAAUUUUGAAGAAUGCAAUUAAAUUCAAAUGGUUUGAUGAGUAA